rnacentral:misc_RNA from 1 species
GGAAUGUGGGUAAGGUGAGUGAGUCAUAAAAUUCUGGUAGUCCCUAGGCUUAAGGUAAGAGUCUGACUCUACAAGUUCGUCUAUCGGCUCAGGUAAUCGUUAGAUUUCUGAUUCACUCGACCUAUUUUAUACAAUACAGUUGCUAUUGAGCUUCUUAGCUAAUCUUUUGAUUGAGCUACUUCGCCCGCCCACGUACUUAUACUUAUCUUUAAGUAGUAGCUGCUCGUUCCUAAGCGAAAGAUAUGAGCUAUAUCGAUGACAGGAAGAACAAGAGAUCGACGAAGGUUUGAAGACGCGUGAGAGCUGCUUCGCUCGUUAUCCGUUUAAACGCUUAGCUUCCUUCCCUUUCUUUGGAAUCGAGUGAAAGUUCGAUUCCAAAGAAAUGAAUGAACCAAGCUUCAUGCCAUAGCCCCUUCUUUCCUACCUGAAUCAAGGAAGCCAAACCCUCGUGCCAAAGAAUGCGGAAUUACAUGCCCUAUUCCUAUACCUAAAAACUCUUCCUGCGUACUUGACUCAAAAGCUUUUGGCUAGGCUUUCAGCCUUCUCUUCUCUGAUAGUUCAUUCCACCUAUGCUAAGAAAACGAGUUCCUGUAUUCAACGUAAAGUCAACUCUUUCAUCUCCUAUUGCUCCAGCUCCUAAGGAAUGAGAUUAGCUUGAUUACGCACCUGAUUGACUCUUAGUUACUGAAAGCGCUGAUGAACGAUCUUCCUUCUUUUAAGAUGCAACUCGGAUUCCUUCUUCACGGCUUGAAGCCGGAUAGCUUGAAGCUUAAGGGCUCUCGGAAUUCCCUUUCAAGCUUUCUCGAGUCACCCUAACGUAACGGCUAACAGGAGUUAAUUCUUUCAGACUAGCUUGCUUUGAUCGCUAGGACUCUGUAUCGGCCUAAGGGCAUCAGAUCGAGUGAAUCGGGGAUAGUCCCAUUUCCUUUUUUCUUCGGAUUCCCGUAUCGAGUCCUUGAGUUCUUUCUGUCGAUGGAGUCAAUGCGAGAAGUAGGCGGUAGCCUACCUCGAGUCGAUUACGUGUUGGAUCCGUCUAAACCGAUGUUGCAAUCAAUGCUUAACAAAUAGGAUUUAAAGUUGUCUAGUGAAAUCCUUCAUCGCUUCGGCCAUGAGCGGUCCAUAGAGCGCUUUCUCCCUAUAACCAGCUUUC